GACGAACGCUGGCGGCGUGCUUAACACAUGCAAGUCGAACGGAAAGGCCCUGCUUUUGUGGGGUGCUCGAGUGGCGAACGGGUGAGUAACACGUGAGCAACCUGCCCUUGACUUUGGGAUAACUUCAGGAAACUGGGGCUAAUACCGGAUAGGAGCUCCUGCUGCAUGGUGGGGGUUGGAAAGUUUCGGCGGUUGGGGAUGGACUCGCGGCUUAUCAGCUUGUUGGUGGGGUAGUGGCUUACCAAGGCUUUGACGGGUAGCCGGCCUGAGAGGGUGACCGGCCACAUUGGGACUGAGAUACGGCCCAGACUCCUACGGGAGGCAGCAGUGGGGAAUAUUGCACAAUAGGCGGAAGCCUGAUGCAGCAACGCCGCGUGCGGGAUGACGGCCUUCGGGUUGUAAACCGCUUUCGCCUGUGACGAAGCGUGAGUGACGGUAAUGGGUAAAGAAGCACCGGCUAACUACGUG
rnacentral:rRNA from 1 species